AGAGUUUGAUCCUGGCUCAGAAUCAACGUUGGCGGCGCGCUUAACACAUGCAAGUCGAACGAGAAAGUGGAGCAAUCCAUGAGUAAAGUGGCGUACGGGUGAGUAACACGUGGGUAUCCAUUCUUUGGUGGGGAAUAACUUUGGGAAACCGAAGCUAAUACCGCAUAAGUCCGAGAGGAGAAAGGUGAAAAUCGCCGAAGAGGGAGCCCGCGGCUGAUUAGCUAGUUGGUGAGGUAAUGGCCCACCAAGGCGAAGAUCGGUAGCCGGCCUGAGAGGGCACACGGCCACACUGGCACUGAGACACGGGCCAGACUCCUACGGGAGGCAGCAGUGGGGAAUCUUGCACAAUGGGGGAAACCCUGAUGCAGCGACGCCGCGUGAACGAUGAAGCCCUUCGGGGUGUAAAGUUCUUUCGGCAGGAACGAUAAUGACGGUACCUAAGAAAGAAGCGGGCCAUCGCU
rnacentral:rRNA from 1 species